GAUUGCUUUGUGCUCGGCGAGUCUGUUCUUAGACUCGGCGAGACAGGUCGCGUAGCCCCAAACCCUUCGAGUUAAGACUCAAGUCAGCGAGUCGAGCAAGGACUCAGUGAGUUGGUCAGGACAGGAUUUAGGAAUCUGUAGACUCGGCGAGUUAGGGGCUGACUCGGCGAGUCAAGUCGCGAUUGGAAGGACUUGAGCAUAAGAACUCGGCGAGUCAGUGAGUGGACUCGGCAAGUAGGGUUGACCUGGAAGGUUGACUUUGACCAGGACUUUGACUUUGGCAAGGGUUGACUUGGUUGACCUUUGAAGGUCAAUUAGACUAAGUAAUGUGUUGGCAUUGAUAGCUCGGGGAGCUAGUGGAGCAGCAGUUCGGAGUCAGUGGUCGGGUAGCGGUCAAAGGGAUUAGCAGCAACAGUUCAGCAGUAUCAGGUGAGUUUCCCUUUGUAUGAAUGGGUCUACGGCCACAAUGCCGGCCCAUGUAGUUAUGAGUAGAAGACCCGGGGGUUAGCCCUAGGCACAGUAUGCUAGUAUGGUAUUCGGACGAGGUCCAAUGAUAGAGGGCGGGUGCCCAAGGAGUGGUUUAUGUGAUAGUUUAUACUUGUUGUCUGUGUGAUACAUGUACGUGCCUGGUAGGAAGGUGAGUGGGGGGCGAGGUCCCGUAUCUCACCAAUAGCAGAGUGUGGAUGGUGUUCCACAUCUCAGUAGCAGCAGUACAGGGGCGAGGCCCAAGCUAGGAAAAGAGUGAGGACGGGCGGGGCCCGUAUCUCACUAUCAGCAGGAGUAUGGACGAGGUUCCAUGACUCAUCAGUAGCAGGACACGGGCGGGGCCCGGAGAUAGGCGAGGCCUUGGAGCAAGAGUUGUUAGUAUAUGUUUAGCUUAUGUGUUGUUAUGUGAUAUAUGUAUGUGCUAGUAUAUGUUAGUGGGCGGGGCCCUGUGACAGGCAAGGCCUAAGUGAAACAGAUCUGUAUCCGAGCGGGGCUUGAAGCCAGGCGGGGCCUGGAGCCGCGGGGCCGUUGUAGCGGGCGAGGCCCGAAGUAGGGGGCGAGGCCUCAGAUAGCGGGCAUGGCCCAGUAUGUGCAGUAUGUGGUCAUGCAUGGUAUGUGGUAGGGUUGGGAACUCACUAAGUUUCGUGCUUANGUUUUCAGUUUUGUUUUCAGGUACUUCCGGUAGCGGAGGGAGGAGCUCGGGGUGAUCGCAUGGCACACACCAUAGAGUAGUCAGCCUGGGAAUGUUUACUCUGAUAAUAAACAUGUGUUUUGAAAACUUAUACUCAAAUUAUGUUUUGGAAUGAUGACUUUGUUUGAAGUAAUGUUUUAUUAAAAGAAAUUUUUGGUCUCGAAUUUUGGGUCGUUACAAGUUGGUAUCAGAGCCUUGGUUUGAGGGAUUCGAGCAUACUCUCGGGUGUGGCUGAACUCAAACUGAGGGGUUGGAUAAAAAGUUUUCAAAAGCGAAAAGACAGUUUUCUAAAAAGAAUUUUGAGAACAAAAAGCAGUUUUAGAAAAACAAAAAGAAUCCAGAAAAAGAAGAAUUUUGAAAAGAGAAAAAGGGGUGUGGUGCAUGCAAUCAACCGAGCUCAAGUAAGUACCCCAAAAUACCCAUACAAGUUUAUAUUAUGAUUAUCAGUUGGUAGAACAGCAUGCUAGAAUAGGACUAAGGAUCUAGGGAUGAUGCCUUAUGUGCCUGUUAUUUGUGCUUUUGAGCUGCAUAGUAGUGCUAAGUAGACAGUAGUAGGAUAGCCUGUUUAGGUUAUACCUGAGAUAUGAGUUUGUGUUUCAUGCUAGUUCAGAUUCUUGCUAUGUGGAUAUGAUUUCUUGAGUAUGUUAUGGUUAGAUUUUCCUUUGUUCGAAUGCUGCUUGCUUUGUGUAUUGUGGGAUUCUGAGUGAUGGGAGUUAGCCAUUAGGUGGAUACGACAAGUCACAUGCGAUCAGGGUUGAAUAAUCUCAGAGUGCUGGAUUUGGUCCUAUUACGCAGCUCUCGUCUGAGUCCAACCGUUGUAGCGACGAGUCUUUUACUUGAAGGAUUAUCUGAGCCUCGUUGCAUGUGAUGGUAUCCAGGUGAUGGCUAAUUGGCAUCAUAAGGAGACCUUCAGUAGGUUUGUGUUGAGUUAGAGGUUUCCCUAGGGUAAGCCUAGGAUGAGAUAGUGCUGGGAGCAGUAGUAGUGGUUAAGGGGUCUGGUGGAGUCAAAGCAAUUCCUGAGGAAAGUACGGAUAGAUAUGGAAGGUAGUAUGGGCCCGUACUACUGAAAGCAAAGGAUCCGUACUCGAUUCGGGAAGGGCCGAGACAAGACCAGGAACCUGGUAGGGUAUGUUUGGUCUCACAUCAGUGAUGAGUAUUCUAAUAGUGGUUGUGGUAUAUUUUCAGCAUGGUGACAUUGCGAGAGAGACCAGCGGGCGGGUCAGGCGCCGGAGAGGGAUCAGGCUCGGGUUUAGGGACCGAGCAGCUCGAGGAGCAGAUGAGAGAGUUGAUAUCAGCUGAGGUUACGCGCAGUAUUCUAGCUCAGACUCCUGUGAUCUUUGGCACGGUCAAGGAGGGUAUACUGGAGAUCUUGGAUGAGAGGCUGGGAGCCUUCCGUACUGAGAUGAUGGCAUUGAUGGGAGCGCGUACUCUGACAUUUCGAGAGUUCAGAGCCUGCGGGGCACCAGAUUAUCAUGGGGCUAGGGACCCCAUUGCUAGCAGCAGAUGGUUGGCUGAUGUUGCCAACGCUUUUCGUACGAGCAAGUGUCCCGAGGGGGACAAGGUUAGACUCGCCUCCUGUCUUCUGAAGGACAGAGCGAGGGAUUGGUGGGAGGAGAUUGGUCAUGCUUUGGGGGAUGAUGCCGCGUUGGACGCGAUGACUUGGAGCGAUUUCUCGGCCAGGUUCAGGGCGGAGUUUUCGCCGAUUAUUGAGGUGCAGCAGCUGGCACGAGAGUUUCAGGAUUUGACGCAGACUACUGAGACUGUGGCGGAGAUCACCGCCAAGUUCAGGGAGAGGGCUCUUCUUGUACCGCAGUAUGUAGCGGAUGAGGAGAUGAAGAAGGCUCGGUACCAUGAGAUGUUGAGGGACGACAUCAGGGAGUUCGUGAGCAGGUCCAGCUGUAAGACGCUGGAAGAUAUGAUUUCUCGGGCUAGGGAAAGGGAAAUUGAUUUGGAGCAGAUCCGGAAGAGGAAGCCGGAUGAGGUUCAGGUAUCAGCGGGUUCGNAUUGAUUUGGAGCAAAUCCGGAAGAGGAAGCCGGAUGAGGUUCAGGUAGCUGUGGGUUCGGGCAAAAGGCCCAAGGGAUCGGAUUCGAGAUCGAGGGAUCAUCAGGACCGCAAUCGGUGCGGAAAGUGUGGCAGGGCGCACGGGGGCGCGUGCAGGAGUGGUAGCCGUGGUGAGUCUGGUUGCUUCAAGUGCGGUCGGACUGGUCAUUUCAGCAGGGAUUGCACUGUUACUGCCGCGCAGGAAUCAGACUUGAUAUGUUUUCAUUGCAACCAGCGGGGCCACAAGAAGGCCCAGUGCCCCAGUUUGUCUUCGGCAGGACGGGUGAUGGCACCCGCCCUUGCAAAUUUGAGGAUCACAGAUGGCCGUCAGGGCCGGGUAGAGGCACAUGCAGCAGGGAGCAGGGCUUUUCAGAUGACGACCUUGGAGACGCUAGCGACGCCGGACGUUGCAGGGAUGCAAUUUCCAUUUCCAGUUCUUUUAUUUGUGCAUGAUUAUGUUGUUAUGAUUCUGCAUCAUCAUCGGUAUGAGUAUUUUAUUUAUGUGCGGUUGAUUAUGGUCGAGUUAUAUGCCAUCUGCAUACCUUGGAUAAUUGUAUGGUAGUUAGGGGAUGUGCUCUAUUGGAGAAGGUUACGUAGGAUGCAGUAGCUGUAGCAUGCUUGGGAGGGACUUAGUAUGUCUCGUUAGAUCAGGAUCGUGUAGUGUCAGAGAUGGAUUGGUUAGAUCCCUAGCUAUGGUAAGCUUGGGUUCCUCAGCAGAUUGAUUAUGGAAUGGUAGCAAGGAUUGGGUUUUCUCUUUGAGCAUUGAGCAACAAGGGGUAAGCAGGAUCGAAGUGGGGGAGAAUCCUCCGAGUAAGCCAGGGUAGGAGCACGCAGACCCAGAAGGAGUGCGCAACCUCCGAGGAGGAAAGGAAGUAGUUCAGCGUUCGAUGGAUUGAGGAUUUCAGGGUUGGGAGUUUGAGAAACUCCCCAUCAGCUAGAGCGUGUGUCGGUAAUGGUUAGUUCGUGGUUGGGAAUUCAGGUUGUUGAUCGCCCGUAUGACUCGAGGGAGUCAGAAUGAGGAUCUUGAGAGCUAAUGGCACAUGGGUGCCUUCGUAUUAGCAGUCAGUGGUGGAAGUGUUGUAAGACUACGGGGCAGCCGUAGCAUUCACUAGCAGUCAACAAUGGAUGGUGAUGUAAGGCUAUGGGUAAGUCGUAGCAUUCCCUAGUCGCUUCGUUAGCGGAGUUGGGGCGAGGCCCUUAUUUUCUCGUGAUCAGAUAGGGAUCGGGAUGGGUAGUCGUUGAGAAUGAUAGGGAGUUGCCUGUAUAGCCCUAGCAAGGUGAGACCUUGGGAGAGGCUGCUCCUGGAUAUAGUUGGGUGAGACCCGUGGGCGAGGCCCGUACGAGAUUAGCAGUGUAGAUAAGACCUGAGAGCAGGGUUGCUCAGUAGUAUGGUUGGGUGGUACCCGUGGGCGAGGCCCAUGGGUUUUUAGCAGCGCAGGUGGGACCUGGUAGGGACCUUAGUGUCAAGUUAGGGGAUCGGGGAUCCCAGGUUUGUAGUGCCUGAGUGGUGGAAUUGUUUGAGCAGUUAUAGGUAGUUGAGGUUUCUUUGGAAGUCGCUGAGAGCGACUUGUGUUGAUGUUGGGACCAGCUACCGGUGGGAGCCGGUAAUCCAGAUAUUGAUAGGUUGGUAGGGACCAGAGUGGUCUCAGUUCAACCGGAAGGCAGAUGAGGAAUGGCAGAAGUAUCCAGUCAGUAGUAGUGCGGGAAGGCGGGUUAUGUUGGAAUUCAGUUAGAUGAGUCGAGGGGUGCUCGACACCAAGUUAUGACAAGAGAGGAGUGUCAGUGGUUACUGGCGGUAAUGACCCGUACUGGAUUUAGCGGGAAUAAGGGAUUGGUGAAGAUAGGAUCUUCACAGUGGCUGAGGAGAUAGUUGUUUUUGGAGCAUCGCCUUGGGAAGGCAAGGGAAUGGCGUGAGGAAAGAAGGGGUGAACCCCUAUAGGUUCAGUGCAGUACUCGGUGAGUACCCGUCGGAUUAUCGGCUAAGUAAGUUGUGUUUCCAGAAUGUUCAGGGUCAGGGUUGACCCGAGAUGGUUAUUUGCAAGGGUUAAUGCUAGUCUGAAUGAUCAGGAGGAAGACCAUCGAAGGUAGGCAGCUGGUGUUGGAACAAUUCGUGGGGUAUUGGAGGCAGAUAGCAGGCGGUGAGAUGGUAAACUUCGAGGACGAAGUUUAGUUUAAGUGGGGGAGAGUUGUAACACCCAGGAUUUUGAAAGCCAAGAAAGUAAAGGAAACCCUAAAUUUAAGAGGGACUCGACGAGUCAAAGGAAGGACUCGGCGAGUCGGAGCGGGAUCCGGGUCGAUAAGAAAGUGACCAACUCGACGAGUCGGCCAAGUGGACUCGGCGAGUCUGGUCUGUGCGAGGAAAACCCUAAAUCCGGGGCUUGGAGCCUAUUUAAGCAUCUUAAUCUUCUUCCUAGGGCUCCUUUACAGCCUCUUGCACCCAGAACGCCGCACCUUAAGCCCCCAUUGUGUUCAUUCAAGCUUCUAGCCAUUUUUGAGUGGGUUUAAGGAAGAAGAAGGAGUGGGAAUCCUUGAAGCAUCAGGGAGUGGCUUUGGAUCUGAAGUUUGGGAAGCAUUUCAGAGCAUUGGAAGGUAUCAAUUCGUUUCUCUCCUCCAUAUUUUUCCUUGGUUAUGAGUUUUGGGGCUUUUAAGCCAUGUUUAAGACCAAUCUUGAGCUUGAGGUCCAGAUCUGAGGUUGCUACCUCAGAUCCAUGUUUAUUUUGGUUUGUAAUCCCAGAAAGUAUCAGCCAUUGGGUGGAAAUUGGAGUCUCUUGGUCCUAAACCCUAGCUAUGGGUGUAUUUUGCCUAGAUCUCCCUCUCUACACGUAAAGUUUGCAACUUUACGUGGGAAAUAGGCUUGGGGAGGGUAGAUCUACAGUUUGGAGCUCAUGCAUGACUCGGAAGUCCUCUGCAUGUAAGUGGAUCUUAGUGGACUCGACGAGUCCUUCGAGUGGACUCGGCGAGUAGCUUGAAGAUGAGGAGGAACUCGACGAGUGGGAUGAACAGCUCGUCGAGUCGGAUGAAGAUGGGCAUGAACUCGGCGAGUUGGAUGAACAACUCGUCGAGUUGGAUGAAGUUUGUCGUGUGCUCGGCGAGUCUGUUCUUAGACUCGGCGAGUCAGGUCGCGUAGUCCCAAACCCUUCGAGUUAAGACUCGAGUCAGCGAGUCGAGCAAGGACUCAGUGAGUUGGUCAGGACAGGAUUCAAGAAUCUGUAGACUCGACAAGUCAGGGGCUGACUCGGCGAGUCAAGUUGCGAUUGGAAGGACUUGAGCAUAAGAACUCGGC
rnacentral:lncRNA from 1 species